UACUAUAUACUUAUGUAUAUUAAAAUUCCAACUCCAACCACUCCAUAAGCCCCAAGCGACCAUACACCUUCAUUUCCCCAAUCGCAACAAAUCGUCAAUCCACGGAUAAUCAGAAAGCUUUUGCAAGAUUGCUUUUGAUGAUGAUGAUGAUGAUGAUGCACAGAAUAUAGUAGGAUGCCUAGAAGCGCACCAAACUUUAAUUCGUGUUUAUUAGUUUAUUCGUUCGAUGCUUAUUGUAACUUGUUUAUUUCAAACUUGUUGUAUUUCUAUUUCAAAUAGUGUACUUGAUAAUAGCAAUAAAAUAAAAUUAUUUAUUUAA